rnacentral:rRNA from 1 species
CAGCAGCCGCGGUAAUACGGAGGGUGCAAGCGUUAUCCGGAUUCACUGGGUUUAAAGGGUGCGUAGGCGGGCAGGUAAGUCCGUGGUGAAAUCUCUGAGCUUAACUCAGAAACUGCCAUGGAUACUAUUUGUCUUGAAUAUUGUGGAGGUAAGCGGAAUAUGUCAUGUAGCGGUGAAAUGCUUAGAUAUGACAUAGAACACCAAUUGCGAAGGCAGCUUACUACACAGUUAUUGACGCUGAGGCACGAAAGCGUGGGGAUCAAACAGGAUUAGAUACCCUGGUAGUCCACGCCCUAAACGAUGAUUACUCGACAUCGGCGAUACACUGUUGGUGUCUGAGCGAAAGCAUUAAGUAAUCCACCUGGGAAGUACGAUCGCAAGAUUGAAACUCAAAGGAAUUGACGG